AACGUGGAGACAGGUGGUGCAUGGCUGUCGUCGGCUCGUGUCGUGAGAUGUUGGGUUAAGUCCCGCAACGAGCGCAACCCUCACCUCUUGUUGCCAUCAGGUCAUGCUGGGCACUCUAGAGGAACUGCCCCGGUCAACGGGGAGGAAGGCGGGGAUGACGUCAAGUCAUCAUGCCCCUUACGUCCUGGGCUACACACGUGCUACAAUGGCCGGUACAAAGGGAUGCCACACCGCGAGGUAGAGCUAAACCCAAAAAGCCGGUCUAAGUUCAGAUUGGAGUCUGCAACUCGACUCCAUGAAGGAGGAAUCGCUAGUAAUCGCGUAUCAGCACGACGCGGUGAAUACGUUCCCGGGCCUUGUACACACCGCCCGUCACACCACGAAAGCCUGCUGUACUCGAAGUCGCUGAG
rnacentral:rRNA from 1 species